ensembl:lncRNA
AGGGGGGGGGGAAACGGGGGGUGUUGGUUUAUUUAUGGCGCUUUGUUCUGCGGCGCUGCUGUUGGGGAUGCGGUGGUGCAGGGAGAGACUUCAGCUUGGAGGGGAGGGUUUGGGGGUGGGGAUGUCCGAAAUGCUGGGGGUGAGCGGCUCCUGGGGGGGGUUCCACGUGGGAUAACAGCAAAAGCAAAGGGCCGGGCCGGGCUGGGCCAGCAGUGAGGCCAAAACGCACCGCUGUGCGCCCCGAAAUCCGCUGCUGGGUGUGCAAAGCGUUGGCGGUGCGUCUUUGCAGAGGGGCAGCUCCCACCACGGCCGUCCAAUUCCGCCUCUUUGGCAGUGGAUUCCCCGGGGUGCACUGCAUCUGUGCGCAGCCACGCCGUGUGUGCGUUGCACAGAGACACCGGCCCUUGGCGUGCUGCUGUGUGUGCAAGGGCGGGCGGUGACGUGCAAUGGUCUGCAAGGACGUGCAAAGGUGUGCAAGGGUGUGUGAUUUGCAAGGAGGUGAGAAGGUAUGCAAGGAUGUGUGAGGGCAGACAACGGUGUGCAGUGGUGUGCAAAGGUGAGCAGGGGUUUGCAAGGAUGUGCAAAGGUGUGCAAGGAUGUGCAAAGGUGUGCAAGGGUGUGUGAUGUGCAAGGAGGUGAAAGGGUGUGCAAGGAUGUGUGAGGGCAGACAACGGUGUGCAGUGGUGUGCAAAGGAGAGUAGGGGUGAGUAGGGGUUUGCAAGGGUGUGCAAAGGUGUGCAAGGAUGUGCAAAGGUGUGCAAGGGUGUGUGAUUUGCAAGGAGGUGCAAAGGUGUGCAAGGAUGUGUGAGGGCAGACAAUGGUGUGCAAUGGUGUGCAAAGGUGAGUAAGGGUUUGCAAGGAUGUGCAAAGGUGUGCAAG